rnacentral:rRNA from 1 species
GUAGGGAAUCUUCCACAAUGGGCGCAAGCCUGAUGGAGCAACGCCGCGUGUGUGAUGAAGGGUUUCGGCUCGUAAAACACUGUUAUAAGAGAAGAACGGCACUGAGAGUAACUGUUCAGUGUGUGACGGUAUCUUACCAGAAAGGAACGGCUAAAUACGUGCCAGCAGCCGCGGUAAUACGUAUGUUCCAAGCGUUAUCCGGAUUUAUUGGGCGUAAAGCGAGCGCAGACGGUUAUUUAAGUCUGAAGUGAAAGCCCUCAGCUCAACUGAGGAAUGGCUUUGGAAACUGGAUGACUUGAGUGCAGUAGAGGAAAGUGGAACUCCAUGUGUAGCGGUGAAAUGCGUAGAUAUAUGGAAGAACACCAGUGGCGAAGGCGGCUUUCUGGACUGUAACUGACGUUGAGGCUCGAAAGUGUGGGUAGCAAACAGGAUUAGAUACCCUGGUAGUCCACACCGUAAACGAUGAGUGCUAGAUGUUCGAGGGUUUCCGCCCUUGAGUGUCGCAGCUAACGCAUUAAGCACUCCGCCUGGGGAGUACGACCGCAAGGUUGAAACUC